rfam:Culex pipiens quinquefasciatus supercont3.168 genomic scaffold, whole genome shotgun sequence.
GUGGCCUACUGGUUACGGUGUUCGCUUUGAAAGCGAGCGGUUCUGGGUUCGAUUCCCAUC